rnacentral:rRNA from 1 species
AUGACGGGUGGAUCACGUGUGGUGGUGAUAGACAAUGGGGGUGGUCUUCUGAAGGCCGGUUUUGGCGGGGACAAGGAUCCAAUUGCUGUCGUACCGAACUGUAUAGCAAAGUCUCCUGGUUCCAAUGCAAACUCGAAGAAAUGGCUAGCGGCUGACCAGCUGCAGGCACAAGAUGUUGAUGUGACUGGUAUGACGCUGAGGCGUCCUAUUGACCGUGGCUACCUUAUCAAUACAGAGGUGCAGCGGGAGGUGUGGGAACGGGUCCUGCGCAGCCUGCUCCAGGUGGAUCCGACAAACUCAUCCUUGUUACUGGUGGAGCCGCAGUUCAACCCUCCAGGACUGCAGCAUGCUACCGACGAACUUGUGUUCGAGGAGUUUGGCUUCAACUCACUUUGUGUUGCAGACGCUCCUUCCCUUGUCCACCUUUACGAGGCCAGCCGCCAGCCGUCGCUCUUUCAUACCCAAUGCAGUCUUGUUGUGGACUGCGGCUUCUCCUUCACCCACGCGUCCCCUGUCCUUCAGAACUUUACGCUGAAUUAUGCUGUGCGGCGUAUGGACCUUGGUGGCAAGGCCCUCACAAACUAUCUCAAGGAGCUUGUUUCGUACCGGUCCCUUAAUGUCAUGGAUGAGACCCUCCUCAUUGAUGACGCAAAGGAAAAGCUAUGCUUUGUAUCCCUUGAUGUCCCUCGUGAUCUUCGCCUUGCCAGUUUAUCAUUCAAAGACAACCCAUUUAGAUGUUCUUACAUUCUCCCUGAUGGCAUAACAUACAAGAAAGGGUUUGUCAAAGACUUGGAUGAAGCACGUCGAUACUGUUCUCUGCCUGUUGAAGGAGAAUUAGAUAAAAAGGAUGGUGGCAAUGACAUAGACAAGGAUCGAAAAAAGCCUGAACUAAGUCAAAAUGAAUUUGCCUUGACCAACGAGAGGUUCCUUGUCCCAGAGAUGCUUUUUCAUCCAAUUGAUCUGGGCAUGAAUCAAGCGGGCCUUGCUGAGUGUAUUGUUCGUGCUGCACAAGCCUGCCAUCCAUAUAUUCAACCUGUGCUUUAUCAGAGCAUCAUCUUGACAGGCGGAAGCACGCUGUUCCCUCGGUUCGCUGAAAGAUUGCAGAGGGAACUUCGACCUCUUGUGCCCGAGGAGUACCAGGUGAAGAUAAUUUCUCAAGAGAACCCAAUCCUUGGUGUCUGGAGAGGAGGAUCUGUCCUGGCGUCCAGCCCCGAUUUCGAGUCGAUGUGCGUUACGAAAUCGGAGUACGAGGAGAUGGGGUCGGCACGGUGCCGCCGGAGAUUCUUCCACUGA